UGAGGAAGUAAAAGUCGUAACAAGGUCUCCGUUGGUGAACCAGCGGAGGGAUCAUUACAGAGUUAUCCAACUCCCAAACCCAUGUGAACAUAUCUCUUUGUUGCCUCGGCGCAAGCUACCCGGGACCUCGCGCCCCGGGCGGCCCGCCGGCGGACAAACCAAACUCUGUUAUCUUCGUUGAUUAUCUGAGUGUCUUAUUUAAUAAGUCAAAACUUUCAACAACGGAUCUCUUGGUUCUGGCAUCGAUGAAGAACGCAGCGAAAUGCGAUAAGUAAUGUGAAUUGCAGAAUUCAGUGAAUCAUCGAAUCUUUGAACGCACAUUGCGCCCAUUAGUAUUCUAGUGGGCAUGCCUGUUCGAGCGUCAUUUCAACCCCUAAGCACAGCUUAUUGUUGGGCGUCUACGUCUGUAGUGCCUCAAAGACAUUGGCGGAGCGGCAGCAGUCCUCUGAGCGUAGUAAUUCUUUAUGUCGCUUCUGUUAGGCGCUGCCCCCCUGGCCGUAAAACCCCCAAUUUUUUCUGGUUGACCUCGGAUCAGGUAGGAAUACCCGCUGAACUUAAGCAUAUCAAUAAGCGGAGGAA
rnacentral:rRNA from 1 species